rfam:Coprobacillus sp. CAG:183 genomic scaffold, scf570
CUCAUGAUGGAGAAAUCCUAGUAAUAAUGAAUCAUGGGAAGUCAGCAGAGGUCGUAGUAGCAAAGAAGUGGCUGUAAUGGUCAUGGAGCGAAGGCC